AUGCCAGCCAUUCUCUCCGACGCAAUUCCAGCCACCGGACUCGCACUCCACGCACACCCAGGCCCGCGCAUAACAACACCACUGACGCACCAGAGCCGCCGCGAAGACCGCCAGACAGCUCCAGAUCGCAUCACUCCGACGAUGUCAACAACCUCUCCGCCACCAGCACUUGCUUUCCGACAUCGGUAA